rnacentral:lncRNA from 1 species
AUUUAUAGCUCGUAUUUAAAGAGCCCUUGGGAGUCUCCCCGGGCUCGGCAGGGCGGCGGCGACGGCGGUGGCUGCGGAGCUGCAGUUAGCGCUGCGCGCGUGAGGUGGCGGGGCGGCAGCCGCGCAUCCCGGCCCUGUGGCGUGUUGGGCGUGGGGGAGCGUCCUUACACGUUCCAGGGUGGCUUUUCCCCCACGUCCUCGCUCGGUUUCUGGAAAGGGGGAGGAAACGCUGCAGCUUCUACAGUACUUUUGCUUAAGACAAAGCCAGGGAUCAGGAAUCUCAAAAGAGCGGGGGGCAGAAGGUUUGAGCCGACCCCACCCCGGCUCUCCAUCGGAGCCCCGAGCGGCGCCGUUUCCUGAUGCUGGCUGUGCGUAGAGGCGGCCUUCCUGGGGGGAGGGGAGAACAAUGCUUCCUGAAAAGCCAAAAGUCGUGGAAUUUGGGGGCGGGGCUCGGGCCAAUUAAAGUGUAUUCGUGGAAAAUAAAUCGCAAGAUAGUGGCAGUGAUGAUCUUGGCGUUCAAUCGAUUGAUCUGACUUCCCAGCAGCGAACUGCACACUGCAGCGCGAAAGCAGGAAACUGGCAUUACGUCAGAAGACAGAAGAGACCCAAAUUGCAACGGUUGCAUCUGCAGGGCUGGCUGGCUGGCUUCCUCUCCUAAACCUAAACCUUUCCCUCUCCCCACCCCCUUUUGUGUGUGUGUGUGUGUGUGUGUGUGUGUGUGUGUGUGUGUGUGU